rnacentral:rRNA from 1 species
AACGCACCUUGCGCUCCUUGGUAUUCCGAGGAGCAUGCCUGUUUGAGUGUCAUGGUAUUCUCAAUCCAUUCAAUACUGUCAAAGGUAUUGGAUUGGUAUUGGAUGUGGAGGAUUAUUGCUGGUCUCUUUAUUGAGUAUCAGCUCCUCUGAAAUGCAUUAGUGUGAAUGUUUACCGAGCAUUUUCUCAGUGUGAUAAUUAUCUACACUUCAACCAAUUUAAGUUAGCUGGCUUCUAAUCGAUCCUUAGUGAUCACUUUGUGUAUUUGACCUCAAAUCAGGUAGGACUACCCGCUGAACUUAA